CCCAACCUCCCCACUGGCCUUAUAUGCGCUGCCACGUUAUUUCUCUUCCCUCCUCCUCUCAAAACAGGACGGGAUGUUGGGUGCGGGGCCUGAGUGCCAAAAACAAAACCAGAAAACACUGCCUGGUAGAGGAGGUAUUUUCUGGGCUGCAGGGGUGAAGAUUCGUGAUUCCAAAGAAAAAAGCUGGGUUAAGAAGAGAAAAGAGUGGGACCAUUCCCCCAGAGAAGCAGUAGAAUUGGCCAGUAGUCCAGGAGAAGGUGAUGCCCCUUCCAGUAUCAGAGAAGGACAACACGUUUGUUGGGUGUGCAAGGACUAAAAAGAGUGACAGUCUCCUGUGGGGUUAGGAGGGAGGGGGCGGGUUGCCCUGUGCUUUGCUAAUAAUAGGAGGGGAAUUUAGGAUCCAAACUCACCAGGGAUGUAGCCUCACGUGACCAGGAACCUUUGCGCUGAAUCUUGGUCCAGCUAGCGCUUCCUGUUCAGGUAACCAGCUCCCUGUUUUCUCGGAUGUGGCGUGACUGUGGGCAAAAAAGGAGGAGGAGGACAAGGAGGAAGCCAGUCCUGAUUCCUGUAGAUCCAGCUUGACUGCCGUUUCAGACUCCACCCCAAGGCGCUUUCACUAGCCUGAGAGAGACCCCUGAGACACUCGUACAGUUGUGACAUGGGCCGUGCUCAGAAUUUGGGCUUGAUGACAACUGGACUGGCGAUCGGGGCUGGCACCUGGUACUGCAUAUACCAACUAACCUGUGUUGGAGAGAAGAACAAGAAGAAACCAGCUGAUUCGAAAGAUGUUAAUCCCGCCUACAAAAAGUUUAGAAAAUACAGAAAACUAUAAGGAAGAAAAUAAAAAUAAGCCACUAAUAACUUCCAUUCCUUGUCUUUCUCCCUGUGUAAUAAACGUGGAUGUGUGUGUUUAACAUUAUUGCAAUUAUCCCUUUUACUUCCUCCCAGCAUUAUUUUUUUUCAGGUUACCUUGCAGGGUAUGCCUUUUAUUAGUUAAUGAAAAUGCUUCCUAAGCAUUCUUUUAAAGGAUUGUUUCACAGUAACAAAAUGUACUAAUUACAAUCUUCCCCUUUUGCUUGCCUUUCAUGUACCAAGUAUGAAAAUUAGUUCUUAGAUUCAGGUAUGAAAAGAAAUAUUAGAUGUUUUUACUUUCUAAAAAAG